GACAGAGGAGCCAAGCGUUGUCCGGACUGACUGGGCGUAAAGCGCACGCAGGCGGUCGCUCAAGUGUCGUGUGAAAGCGCCGCGCUUAACGCGGCGAGGACAAGGCAAACUGGGCGACUGGAGCGCUGGAGAGGUCGGUGGAAUUGCCGGUGUAGUGGUGAAAUGCGUAGAGAUCGGCAGGAACACCCAGGGGGAAACCAACCGACUGGUCAGCCGCUGACGCUGAGGUGCGAAAGCGUGGGGAGCGAACCGG
rnacentral:rRNA from 1 species